AGAGUUUGAUCAUGGCUCAGAACGAACGCUGGCGGCGUGCUUAACACAUGCAAGUCGAGUGCGCGUACCGUAGCAAUACGGUAUGGCGCACGGCGCACGGGUGCGUAACACGUGGGCAAUCUGCCCUUCGAUGGGGAAUAACUCCGGGAAACCGAAGCUAAUUCCGCAUAACAUUCCUUGGACUUCGGUUCGAGGACUCAAAGCCGUAAGGCGUCGAAGGAGGAGCCCGCGCACGAUUAGCUAGUUGGUAGGGUAACGGCCUACCAAGGCUUUGAUCGUUAGCUGGUCUGAGAGGAUGGCCAGCCACACUGGAACUGAGACACGGUCCAGACUCCUACGGGAGGCAGCAGUGGGGAAUCUUGCACAAUGGGCGAAAGCCUGAUGCAGCGACGCCGCGUGGGGGAUGAAGCAUCUCGGUGUGUAAACCCCUUUCGACUGGGACGAAUGCCUCGCAAGAGGAGUGACGGUACCAGUAGAAGAAGCCCCGGCUAACUACGUGCCAGCAGCCGCGGUAAGACGUGGGGGGCCAGCGUUGUUCGGAAUUACUGGGUGUAAAGGGUUCGUAGGCGGUGUGGCAAGUUGGGAGUGAAAUCUCUGGGCUCAACCCAGAGGCUGCUUCCAAAACUGCUGUGCUUGAGUGUGGGAGAGGCGCGUGGAAUUGCAGGUGUAGCGGUGAAAUGCGUAGAUAUCUGCAGGAACACCCGUGGCGAAAGCGGCGCGCUGGACCACAACUGACGCUGAGGAACGAAAGCUAGGGGAGCAAACAGGAUUAGAUACCCUGGUAGUCCUAGCCCUAAACGAUCAGGACUUGGGGUGCCGCCCGUUCGGGCGUCGUCCCGGAGCUAACGCGUUAAGUCCUGCACCUGGGGAGUACGGUCGCAAGACUGAAACUCAAAGGAAUUGACGG
rnacentral:rRNA from 1 species